rnacentral:rRNA from 1 species
UUGAACGCUGGCGGCAUGCCUUACACAUGCAAGUCGAACGGUAGAGGGGCAACCCUUGAGAGUGGCGAACGGGUGAGUAAUGCAUCGGAACGUGCCCAGUCGUGGGGGAUAACGCAGCGAAAGCUGUGCUAAUACCGCAUGUGAUCUGUGGAUGAAAGCAGGGGACCGCAAGGCCUUGUGCGAUUGGAGCGGCCGAUGUCAGAUUAGCUAGUUGGUAGGGUAAAAGGCCUACCAAGGCGACGAUCUGUAGCUG